CCUACGGGAGGCAGCAGUGGGGAAUUUUGGACAAUGGGCGAAAGCCUGAUCCAGCAAUGCCGCGUGAGUGAAGAAGGCCUUCGGGUUGUAAAGCUCUUUUGUCAGGGAAGAAACGGUGAGGGCUAAUAUCCCUUGCUAAUGACGGUACCUGAAGAAUAAGCACCGGCUAACUACGUGCCAGCAGCCGCGGUAAUACGUAGGGUGCAAGCGUUAAUCGGAAUUACUGGGCGUAAAGCGUGCGCAGGCGGUUUUGUAAGUCUGUCGUGAAAUCCCCGGGCUCAACCUGGGAAUUGCGAUGGAGACUGCAAGGCUAGAAUCUGGCAGAGGGGGGUAGAAUUCCACGUGUAGCAGUGAAAUGCGUAGAGAUGUGGAGGAACACCGAUGGCGAAGGCAGCCCCCUGGGUCAAGAUUGACGCUCAUGCACGAAAGCGUGGGGAGCAAACAGGAUUAGAUACCCUGGUAGUCCACGCCCUAAACGAUGUCUACUAGUUGUCGGGUUUUAAUUAACUUGGUAACGCAGCUAACGCGUGAAGUAGACCGCCUGGGGGAGGUACGGUCGCGAAGUAGUUAAACGUUAAAGUUAAAGUUAGUUACGGCGUGAGACGUUGCGACGGACGACGACGAGGGAGGAGG
rnacentral:rRNA from 1 species